GAUGAACGCUGGCGGCGUGCCUAACACAUGCAAGUCGAGCGAAGCGGGGACGGGUGAGUAACACGUGUAUACCCUUCUAUAAGACUGGGAUAACUUCGGGAGACCGGAGCUCAACCCGUCACUUAUACAUUUAUCCGGGCUGCAUUAGGUAGUUGGUAAGGUAACGGCUUACAAAGCCAACGAUGCAUAGCCGACCCGAGAGGGGGAUGGGCCACAUGGGAAAGGAGACACGGUCCGGACUCCUACGGGAGGCAGAAGUGGGGAAUCUUCGGCAAUGGGCGAAAGCCUGACGGAGCAACGCCGCGUGAGUGAUGAAGGUCUUCGGAUCGUAAAACUCUGUAAUGAGGGAAGCGGUACCUAAACAGAAAGCCACGGCUAACUACGUGCCAGCAGCCGCGGUAAUAC
rnacentral:rRNA from 1 species